rnacentral:lncRNA from 1 species
UAUAUAAGAGGAGUGUGCGGCCGGACAGGCAGGCAAACUGCCUUCAAAGGUCAUCUGAUUUUUCCCCAAAGAAGCCACUGAGGAAUUUCGAGCAGGAACACAGGAUGGUAAAAGCUUCUUUAUAUGAAAUACUACGUAACACAAUCUUAUAGUGUCGGAGAAGGUAAAUCCGCUGCACGAAAGAACAUAUACACACACCCAGGAUAGGAUGGCGGACAUUAUGCGCAUUUUAAAAUUGAGGACACUCAAGUUCAAAAACUUCAGGCAGUGAGCGCCUGCGGCAAGUGGCCGUCCUGGAAGAGAAAGAACCCAGCUGGUGUCCCGCAAGUAACCUAUAAUCGCGAGACUCCCAUUUCUCCUUGGAAAGAGAACGUGAUUUUAAUCCGCAGGGAGGGCGUGCCCCUCCCACCCUGUACCUUCUGUCCUAUUGCAAAUUGCGCUCUGUGUGUUCCCCCUUUACCCCGCUGUUCUUCCAGGGCCACGGUUCCUCAGCUUUUGACCUGACUUCUCACUCCCAAAUCUGGCCGCAAUCAAAUAUUAAGUUGGGGCGUCCCCAUUAUUUUCUACGAGCCAGUUGGCCUCCAGCAGUUAUAAAAAGGAACGAAGUCCAUAGCUCUGGGUAUUCGGGGGACGAUCCCGAAGCAUCACUCGGGGGAAAAGGACCCCGGCGCCGUGGCUUCGAGGUAGCCCCUCCGUGAAGCCUUCCUCCCCUCACCUCAACUCCGCGGCGUGCGGGUCCGCAGACCAGGCUCCGCCUGCGGCCCCCCGCCCCGGCUUUUGGAACCCGACAACCCUCGGUACACCUCCCAAGAGCCCCAACUUGAGAACAGAGCCUCCCGUCGCCCGCCAAACCCCUUAAAGGGGGGCGGGUGGGGCGUGGCCGGAAGUGGCUCGCCGGGGGAAGUCUGUCUCCGGGGAGUCUGCGUUUCCUCUCUAGGAGUUGGGAGGUAUCCGCACUUCUAUGGUCUGGACCUCGUGCGGAGCUGCCCCACGAAGGAGAGGGGGCGCCGGGUCCGGCGGGUUAGAGCGCUGAUCCCUGCCUACCCUUUUCUACCUGUGUGCACUUGGCAGCACUACUGGCAGAGAGUCGGAAAUUGCCCUCGUCACGAU